AUAACAAUAAAAGGGAAAAAAUAAACAAAUAAAUAAAUUUAAUUUAUUCAUUUUUCUUUCUUUUCUUUGUUUUCUUGUUUGUUUCUUUGUUUUCUUUUUCUUUUUGUUUUGUUUAGUUUUUAAAGUUCUUUUUAGUUAUUUAAAUUAAAAGGAGAGGAAGAAAAGCUUCUUUAGUUGUUUUUUUUAUGAAAUUGAGUUAAAAAUUAUGAAAAAAAAA
rnacentral:ribozyme from 1 species